CACGCCGUAAACGAUGGAUACUAGCUGUUGGAUCGUGAGGUUCAGUGGCUAAGCAAAAGUGAUAAGUAUCCCACCUGGGGAGUACGUUCGCAAGAAUGAAACUCAAAGGAAUUGACGGGGACCCGCACAAGCGGUGGAUGAUGUGGUUUAAUUCGAUGCAACGCGAAAAACCUUACCCACCUUUGACAUGGUCGGAACCCUUUAGAGAUAGAGGGGUGCUCGAAAGAGAGCCGAUACACAGGUGC
rnacentral:rRNA from 1 species